CCGAACGCCAUAGCGGUUCGGCUGGGACUAGAGGGCGCCGGCUCUCUCUCCGGCGCAUCUCAUGCCCGAAUUGCUCAUGCAGAGGAUUUGGAUAUGAGGA
rnacentral:sRNA from 1 species